AUGUCCAUCAUGCUGUACGCCGGCGGAUCGGGCAGCACGGUGGCGCAUGCAGCGCCGAUGCUCACGGGGGAGAACUACAUCACCUGGGCCAUCAAGGUGGAGGCCGACCUGGACGCCGCCGGACUAUGGGAGGCGGUGGUGCCGCCGGAGGACGCCGCGUUGGCGGUGAUCGCCAAGAAAGAUAAGCCGGCGCGGGCUUACCUGCUCUGGGCGCUCGCCGAUGAUUUGCUGCUGCAGGUGGCCGCAAAGAAGACCGCGGCGGAGAUACGGAGCAGCCUCAAGGCCCGGUUCGUCGGGACUGAUCGCGUGCGGGCGGCGCGGCUGGGCACGUUGCGCAGGGAGUUCGAGCUCCUGCGCAUGGCGAGCGACGAGUCGCUGGACGCGUUCGCGGGGAAGAUCAGCGGCAUGGCGGCGCGCUACACCGGGCUGGGAGCGACCCUUGACGACGAAGCAAUAGUGAGGAAGCUCCUGGACUGUGUCCCGGAUCGUCUGUACGCGGCGGUCGCCGGGAUGGAGCAGUUCUGCAACUUGUCGGAGCUUCUCUUCGAGGACGCGCUCGGGUGCCUGAAGGCGUUCGACGAGCGGCCGCGUCGGCGAGGAUAG
rnacentral:rRNA from 1 species